rnacentral:rRNA from 1 species
AACGAACGUUGGCGGCGUGGAUUAGGCAUGCAAGUCGAACGCGAAUCCCUGGGCAACUGGGGAGGAGAGUGGCGAAAGGGGCAGUAAGGCGUGGGUAACCUACCCUCCGGGCCGGGAUAGCUUCGGGAAACUGAAGGUAAUACCGGGCGACGCAGCGAGAUCGCAUGGUCUUGCUGCCAAAGGUCCGCCGCCGGGGGAGGGGCUCACGUGGUAUUAGCUAGACGGCGGGGUAACGGCCCACCGUGGCAAAGAUGCCUAGCAGGUGUGAGAGCACGACCUGCGCCACUGGCACUGAGACAAUGGCCAGACACCUACGGGUGGCUGCAGUCGAGGAUCUUCGGCAAUGGGCGCAAGCCUGACCGAGCGACGCCGCGUGUGCGAUGAAGGCCUUCGGGUUGUAAAGCACUGUCGAGGGGGAGGAAGCCGCAAGGUUGACCUAUCCCUGGAGGAAGCACGGGCUAAGUUCGUG